AAACCCUGAAGGAGCGACGCCGCGUGGGGAUGAAUGGCUUCGGCCCGUAAACCCUGUCAUUUGCGAUCAAACCUUACGACCUAACACGUCGUAAGCUGAUAGUAGCGGAAGAGGAAGGGACGGCUAACUCUGUGCCAGCAGCCGCGGUAAUACAGAGGUCCCAAGCGUUGUUCGGAUUCACUGGGCGUAAAGGGUGCGUAGGCGGUCGGGUAAGUCUGACGUGAAAUCUUCAAGCUCAACUUGGAAACUGCGUCGGAUACUAUUCGGCUAGAGGAAUGGAGGGAGACUGGAAUACUUGGUGUAGCAGUGAAAUGCGUAGAUAUCAAGUGGAACACCAGUGGCGAAGGCGAGUCUCUGGACAUUUCCUGACGCUGAGGCACGAAAGCCAGGGGAGCAAACGGGAUUAGAUACCCCGGUAGUCCUGGCCCUAAACGGUGCACGUUUGCUGUAAGAGGAAUCGACCCCUUUUGUGGCGAAGCUAACGCGUUAAACGUGCCGCCUGGGAAGUACGGCCGCAAGGUUA
rnacentral:rRNA from 1 species